AUGGUUUUAACAGCAAGUUUGGUCAUAAAUGAUGCGAAUAUGACAUAUAAACAUGGUGAAGAAAUUCAAGACAUAAGGGCAUCAAGCAUGAAGAUUACUUUGAGAUGUUAUGGAAGCUUGAAGUUUGGUUUUUGCAACCAAAAGCAUGAAUUUCAUAAGUCUAGAAACUUAGAAUUCUUACGUUUUAGGACCAAAUUCAUACUGUCAUGUUUAGAACUUUGU